rnacentral:tRNA from 1 species
GCCCCAGUGUCCUAAUGGAUAAGGCACUAGCCUCCUAAACCAGUGACUGUGGGUUCAAAUUCCACCUAGGUUG